rnacentral:rRNA from 1 species
AAAUUGAAGAGUUUGAUCAUGGCUCAGAUUGAACGCUGGCGGCAGGCCUAACACAUGCAAGUCGAACGGUAACAGGAAGCAGCUUGCUGCUUUGCUGACGAGUGGCGGACGGGUGAGUAAUGUCUGGGAAACUGCCUGAUGGAGGGGGAUAACUACUGGAAACGGUAGCUAAUACCGCAUAACGUCGCAAGACCAAAGAGGGGGACCUUCGGGCCUCUUGCCAUCGGAUGUGCCCAGAUGGGAUUAGCUAGUAGGUGGGGUAACGGCUCACCUAGGCGACGAUCCCUAGCUGGUCUGAGAGGAUGACCAGCCACACUGGAACUGAGACACGGUCCAGACUCCUACGGGAGGCAGCAGUGGGGAAUAUUGCACAAUGGGCGCAAGCCUGAUGCAGCCAUGCCGCGUGUAUGAAGAAGGCCUUCGGGUUGUAAAGUACUUUCAGCGGGGAGGAAGGGAGUAAAGUUAAUACCUUUGCUCAUUGACGUUACCCGCAGAAGAAGCACCGGCUAACUCCGUGCCAGCAGCCGCGGUAAUACGGAGGGUGCAAGCGUUAAUCGGAAUUACUGGGCGUAAAGCGCACGCAGGCGGUUUGUUAAGUCAGAUGUGAAAUCCCCGGGCUCAACCUGGGAACUGCAUCUGAUACUGGCAAGCUUGAGUCUCGUAGAGGGGGUAGAAUUCCAGGUGUAGCGGUGAAAUGCGUAGAGAUCUGGAGGAAUACCGGUGGCGAAGGCGGCCCCCUGGACGAAGACUGACGCUCAGGUGCGAAAGCGUGGGGAGCAAACAGGAUUAGAUACCCUGGUAGUCCACGCCGUAAACGAUGUCGACUUGGAGGUUGUGCCCUUGAGGCGUGGCUUCCGGAGCUAACGCGUUAAGUCGACCGCCUGGGGAGUACGGCCGCAAGGUUAAAACUCAAAUGAAUUGACGGGGGCCCGCACAAGCGGUGGAGCAUGUGGUUUAAUUCGAUGCAACGCGAAGAACCUUACCUGGUCUUGACAUCCACGGAAGUUUUCAGAGAUGAGAAUGUGCCUUCGGGAACCGUGAGACAGGUGCUGCAUGGCUGUCGUCAGCUCGUGUUGUGAAAUGUUGGGUUAAGUCCCGCAACGAGCGCAACCCUUAUCCUUUGUUGCCAGCGGUCCGGCCGGGAACUCAAAGGAGACUGCCAGUGAUAAACUGGAGGAAGGUGGGGAUGACGUCAAGUCAUCAUGGCCCUUACGACCAGGGCUACACACGUGCUACAAUGGCGCAUACAAAGAGAAGCGACCUCGCGAGAGCAAGCGGACCUCAUAAAGUGCGUCGUAGUCCGGAUUGGAGUCUGCAACUCGACUCCAUGAAGUCGGAAUCGCUAGUAAUCGUGGAUCAGAAUGCCACGGUGAAUACGUUCCCGGGCCUUGUACACACCGCCCGUCACACCAUGGGAGUGGGUUGCAAAAGAAGUAGGUAGCUUAACCUUCGGGAGGGCGCUUACCACUUUGUGAUUCAUGACUGGGGUGAAGUCGUAACAAGGUAACCGUAGGGGAACCUGCGGUUGGAUCACCUCCUUACCUUAAAAAAGC